rnacentral:rRNA from 1 species
GACGAACGCUGGCGGCGUGCUUAACACAUGCAAGUCGAACGGAAAGGCCCUGCUUUUGUGGGGUGCUCGAGUGGCGAACGGGUGCGUAACACGUGAGUAACCUGCCCUUGACUUUGGGAUAACUUCAGGAAACUGGGGCUACUACCGGAUAGGAGCUCCUGCUGCAUGGUGGGGGUUGGAAAGUUUCGGCGGUUGGGGAUGGACUCGCGGCUUAUCAGCUUGUUGGUGGGGUAGUGGCUUACCAAGGCUUUGGCGGGUAGCCGGCCUGGGAGGGUGACCGGCCACAUUGGGACUGAGAGACGGCGCAGACUCCUACGGGAGGCAGCAGUGGGGAAUAUUGCACAAUGGGCGGAAGCCUGAUGCAGCAACGCCGCGGGCGGGAUGACGGCCUUCGGGUUGUAAACCGCUUUCGCCUGUGACGAAGCGUGAGUGACGGUAAUGGGUAAAGAAGCACCGGCUAACUACGUG